rnacentral:rRNA from 1 species
CCUACGGGGGGCAGCAGUGGGGAAUAUUGCACAAUGGGGGAAACCCUGAUGCAGCAACGCCGCGUGAGUGAAGAAGUAUUUCGGUAUGUAAAGCUCUAUCAGCAGGGAAGAAGAUGACGGUACCUGAGUAAGAAGCCCCGGCUAACUACGUGCCAGCAGCCGCGGUAAUACGUAGGGGGCAAGCGUUGUCCGGAUUUACUGGGUGUAAAGGGUGCGUAGGCGGGUAAGCAAGUCAGAAG